rnacentral:rRNA from 1 species
AUAAUAUCUGUGGAUUAAAGGUGGCUUUCGGGCUGUCGCAGAUGGAUGAGCCUGCGUUGGAUUAGCUAGUUGGUGGGGUAAGGGCCCACCAAGGCUACGAUCCAUAGCUGAUUUGAGAGGAUGAUCAGCCACAUUGGGACUGAGACACGGCCCAAACUCCUACGGGAGGCAGCAGUGGGGAAUAUUGGACAAUGGGGGCAACCCUGAUCCAGCAAUGCCAUGUGUGUGAAGAAGGCCCUAGGGUUGUAAAGCACUUUAGUUGGGGAGGAAAGCCUCAAGGUUAAUAGCCUUGGGGGAGGACGUUACCCAAAGAAUAAGCACCGGCUAACUCCGUGCCAGCAGCCGCGGUAAUACGGGGGGUGCAAGCGUUAAUCGGAAUUACUGGGCGUAAAGGGUCUGUAGGUGGUUUGUUAAGUCAGAUGUGAAAGCCCAGGGCUCAACCUUGGAACUGCAUUUGAUACUGGCAAACUAGAGUACGGUAGAGGAAUGGGGAAUUUCUGGUGUAGCGGUGAAAUGCGUAGAGAUCAGAAGGAACACCAAUGGCGAAGGCAACAUUCUGGACCGAUACUGACACUGAGGGACGAAAGCGUGGGGAUCAAACAGGAUUAGAUACCCUGGUAGUCCACGCUGUAAACGAUGAGUACUAGCUGUUGGAGUCGGUGUAAAGGCUCUAGUGGCGCAGCUAACGCGAUAAGUACUCCGCCUGGGGACUACGGCCGCAAGGCUAAAACUCAAAGGAAUUGACGGGGACCCGCACAAGCGGUGGAGCAUGUGGUUUAAUUCGAUGCAACGCGAAGAACCUUACCUGGUCUUGACAUCCUGCGAACUUUCUAGAGAUAGAUUGGUGCCUUCGGGAACGCAGUGACAGGUGCUGCACGGCUGUCGUCAGCUCGUGUUGUGAAAUGUUGGGUUAAGUCCCGCAACGAGCGCAACCCCUAUUGAUAGUUACCAUCAUUAAGUUGGGUACUCUAUUGAGACUGCCGCUGACAAGGCGGAGGAAGGUGGGGACGACGUCAAGUCAUCAUGGCCCUUACGACCAGGGCUACACACGUGCUACAAUGGGUAUUACAGAGGGCUGCGAAG